UUACGGCCGUAUCACGCUGAAAGACCAGUUCUCGUACGACCACCCAAGUUAAGCAACGUCGAGCCUGGUCAGUACCUAGAUCGGUGACCGCUUUGGAAUACCAAGUUU